rnacentral:rRNA from 1 species
UGGCAGUCGGAAUCCGCCAAGGAGUGUGUAACAACUCACCUGCCGAAUGAAUUAGCCCUGAAAAUGGAUGGCGCUUAAGCGGGUGGCCGACACCACACCGUCUGGUAAAUAUUUUAUGUGAUCAGAUGAGUAGGAGGGCGUGGCGGGUGUGUCGAAGCGUGCAUGCAGAUGCGCGUGGAACAGCCGCUAGUGCAGAUCUUGGUGGUAGUAGCAAGUAUUCAAGCGAGAUCCUUGAAGGGCGAAGCGGGGAAGGGUUCCACGCGAACAUUGAUUGGGCGUGGGUGAGUCGUUCCUAAGCCGAGUGGCAAUUGCUAAGUAGCGGCGAAAGGGAAGCGGGUUGACAUUCCCGCACACGGAUGUGGAGGCGGUGACGCGCAUUGGGGCGAACACGCUGGCGACGGCGCUGGGCAGAGUUGUCUUUUCUGUUUGACCUACUUAGCGUGCUGUGUGGAAUCCGCUUGUUGGGAGAAACACGCACGUUGGGGCAGAGCGCCGGGGCUUUUCCGGCGUCCAGCUCGCCGUCGACGGCCCUUGAAACUUUGCCUGCUGAUAUUCAUUUUUUUGAAUUUAAGAUCCACGCCGUGGCGUACCGAUCACCGCAUCAGGUCCCCAAGGUGAACAGCCUCUGCUCAGUAUGAAAAAUGCAGGUAAGGGAAGUCGGCAAAUUAGACC